rnacentral:rRNA from 1 species
AUGGAGCCGACCUUGAAAUACCACCCUUUAAUGUUUGAUGUUCUAACGUUGACCCGUAAUCCGGGUUGCGGACAGUGUCUGGUGGGUAGUUUGACUGGGGCGGUCUCCUCCUAAAGAGUAACGGAGGAGCACGAAGGUUGGCUAAUCCUGGUCGGACAUCAGGAGGUUAGUGCAAUGGCAUAAGCCAGCUUGACUGCGAGCGUGACGGCGCGAGCAGGUGCGAAAGCAGGUCAUAGUGAUCCGGUGGUUCUGAAUGGAAGGGCCAUCGCUCAACGGAUAAAAGGUACUCCGGGGAUAACAGGCUGAUACCGCCCAAGAGUUCAUAUCGACGGCGGUGUUUGGCACCUCGAUGUCGGCUCAUCACAUCCUGGGGCUGAAGUAGGUCCCAAGGGUAUGGCUGUUCGCCAUUUAAAGUGGUACGCGAGCUGGGUUUAGAACGUCGUGAGACAGUUCGGUCCCUAUCUGCCGUGGGCGCUGGAGAACUGAGGGGGGCUGCUCCUAGUACGAGAGGACCGGAGUGGACGCAUCACUGGUGUUCGGGUUGUCAUGCCAAUGGCACUGCCCGGUAGCUAAAUGCGGAAGAGAUAAGUGCUGAAAGCAUCUAAGCACGAAACUUGCCCCG